GACGACGCGUGGCGGCGUGGAUUAGGCAUGCAAGUCGAACGGUAUCAUCCUUCGGGGUGAGAGAGUGGCGAACUGGUGAGUAACACGUAGGUUAUCUACCCUCAAGACGGGACAACCCAGGGAAACUUGGGCUAAUACCGGAUGUGAGCAACUUUAGUUGUUUGAAAGGUGGCGUAAGCUGUCGCUUGGGGAUGAGCCUGCGUCCUAUUAGUUAGUUGGUGAGGUAACGGCUCACCUAGGCAAUGAUAGGUAGGCGGCCUUAACGGGUGGUCGCCCACACUGGGAUUGAGAUACGGCCCAGACUCCUACGGGAGGCAGCAGUCGAGAAUAGUCUACAAUGGUCGGAAGACUGAUAGUGCGACGCCGCGUGAACGAUGAAUCCCUUCGGGGUGUAAAGUUCUUUUAUAUGUGAGCAGUGCUUCUUAUAUUAACAGUAUGGGGAGAGAGAUAUUAGCAUAUGAAUAAGCAACGGCUAACUCCGUG
rnacentral:rRNA from 1 species